rnacentral:lncRNA from 1 species
UGCGCCCCGCGCGCAGCGCUGCUUCUGCCCGGGCCAAGGACGCCCGGGCCAGCCGGCGGGACCAGAGGGAAGCCGAGUGACCGAUGAGGCCUGGGCUGUGUAUCCCACAGGGGCACUUGUCAUCCCUACCUAGAGGCCAAACCGUUUAAUUAGGCCUAAAUAAAAAAGCCAUGUGAAGCCCGAAGAUACUGCAUAUAUGAGAUUUGUCAAGCCAUUCUUCCCACCACCAAUGCCUGAACACGACCUCAUUUAUCUUGAUCAAUGAAGCUCAAGGAAGCAUUGCACUUUGGCUUCUGCUUUAAUGAUAUUCAGAGUCAACAGGAAAUUAAUCAGCAAGUAGAAAAUUGAAAGAAGAUCUGCAUCUCGCUGCAGGAGUCAUUAAAAUAAAAGCAGAUUUGGCAAAAUGGCAAGCAGCAACAAAUACUGCGUAUGUACGGAGUGCACCAGGCACGAUGCUAAUGUGCUCGGCAUACGUUAUCUUUUUGGUUCUACAACAACCCAGUGGAGGAAGACUUCUCAAACACAAUUUAAGGAUGAGGAAAUGAAGGCACAGAGCAAUUAUUCAACUUGUCUAAGGCCACACGGCUACUAAGAAUCAUUGCCAGAAUGUAUCUCCAAUUUUAUUUGUCUCCGUUGCCAAGGUUUUGACCGCCAUGUGACGACGACGCCUUUCCUCUUUUCAUGGAUAUCCGGAGAGCACCUUGGACAGCCACCUAAGUCUUAUGACCACCCCUCCCAGUUUUGGAUCAUCAGAGCUGUUGUCAGAAUGUCUUCACGGGGGUCUCCCAACCUUCUAUUUUUCCUUUGAAGUUGGAAAAUCUACCUCCAGAUGUUGAAAGCUCAUAUCUAACUGAGCUAAUGAGAGUCCUCCAUUUUCCAAAAAGCUUAAGCUGCCACUUGCUUUUAGUUGCUAUUUUCUUAACUAACUAGUUUGUCCUGAUGGAUCAAAAUUAAGGGCUUUUGAUAAGGAGAACAGUUAUUCUAUUUUUUUUCAAACUUCUGGGAGAUGAAGCCACAUGAAGAAUUUAUUGUAUUGUUGUUCUUUGCUGACCUUACCCUGAUUUUACCACAUAAUAAAGUGCUUUGAGUUCUGCAUUCUACUGGUUACUUUGGGUUUUGUUUGUUUGUUCGUUGUUAACCACAACUGAACUUUAAGUCUGGGAAUAGUUUCCAAGUUUCUGGAAAUAGUAAGUGGCUCCCCUGUCCUUCUGAUGUUGCUAUAGAUCAGUUUUGAAGAGAAAUCCAACCUCAAAACCUUCUUUGAUUCCUCUAUCUCACUUG